CAGAGGGUGCAAGCGUUGUUCGGAAUUACUGGGCGUAAAGGGCGCGUAGGCGGUCCGCUAAGUCUGGUGUGAAAUCCCCCGGCUCACCCGGGGAAGCGCGCCGGAAACUGACGGACUCGAGUACCGGAGAGGAGGGUGGAAUUCCUGGUGUAGCGGUGAAAUGCGUAGAUAUCAGGAGGAACACCGGUGGCGAAGGCGGCCCUCUGGACGAGUACUGACGCUGAGGCGCGAAAGCGUGGGGAUCAAACAGGAUUAGAUACCCUGGUAGUCCACGCUGUAAACGAUGGGAACUAGGUGUGAGGGAUUUAAUCUCUCGUGCCGCAGCUAACGCAUUAAGUUCCCCGCCUGGGGAUUACGGCCGCAAGGUUA
rnacentral:rRNA from 1 species